rnacentral:rRNA from 1 species
CCUACGGGAGGCAGCAGUGGGGAAUAUUGGACAAUGGGCGAAAGCCUGAUCCAGCCAUGCCGCGUGAGUGAUGAAGGCCUUAGGGUUGUAAAGCUCUUUCACCCACGACGAUGAUGACGGUAGUGGGAGAAGAAGCCCCGGCUAACUUCGUGCCAGCAGCCGCGGUAAUACGAAGGGGGCUAGCGUUGUUCGGAAUUACUGGGCGUAAAGCGCACGCAGGCGGUGGUCAUAGUCAGAAGUGAAAGCCCUGGGCUCAACCCGGGAAUUGCUUUUGAUACUGGACCGCUAGAAUCACGGAGAGGGUAGUGGAAUUCCGAGUGUAGAGGUGAAAUUCGUAGAUAUUCGGAAGAACACCAGUGGCGAAGGCGACUACCUGGCCGUCGAUUGACGCUCAUGUGCGAAAGCGUGGGGAGCAAACAGGAUUAGAUACCCUGGUAGUCCACGCCGUAAACGAUGAGUGCUAGUUGUUGGGGUGCAUGCACCUCAGUGACGCAGCUAACGCGUUAA